rnacentral:ncRNA from 1 species
AUCUGUUUAACUAUGGCAGUAGGAAGCAGGCAGUAUCUUAGUUGCAUAAAGUCUUUUUAUACUAUCAUUUUAUGGUACUGUUUAUGUAUAAUUAGCAGCUAGUAUUUUGAUUGAACUUACGUUUUCUAAAAUGUUACUGUGUGAAAGGGGAUAGGACACAGUGCCAGCAUCCGCGGUUAAUCUGUUUUCUUUGCUUUCUUUUGAUAAUUGUCUAAGUGAUUAAACGCAAGGUUUGGUGAAAUUUUCUUGCUUUGGUGUUGAGCACUUAAAUAAGGGUAAGGUAAUAUUAAAUGACAGGGAUUAGAUACCCCAUUAAUUAUUACAUUAAUAUUUUCUAGUUUCAUAACUAAAAUAGUUUGGCAGCGAGUUACUCCUGUCGGGGGAAAGUGUGUUGUAAAGGACGAUCCGCCUAUUAAAUGACCUAGGUUAUGUUGGUGUAUAUCUGGUUGGACAUUAUUGCUUUAUAGCUGAAUUUGUGUACGAGUAGUUAAGCCAAGUCUAUGUGCUGCAUGCUUAGGGUUUCAUGCGUUACUUUUAUAAAAUAGUUCACUGUAAGGUGGCUUAAUUUAGGACUCGACAGUAAUAUAAGAUGAUUUUGCUUGUGUGAAAGGGGUUUAACUUGGGUACACACCGCCCGUCACCCUCGAUACUUGUUGAGGUAAGUCGUAACAUGGUAACCCCAAAUGAAUUUGGGGUUAAUUGCAGUUAUUU